AGUGAUGUCAGCAUGACAUUGAUUUCCUGAGGCCCAGGGGCGAAGGAGCUGAGGACAGCAGAGGGGUGAAGGAACUCAGCUACAGACAGCAGCAGCUGAUGCACAGGCCUCCCAGCGCCUGAAGUCACCCGGAAUUGGGAAGUGCUCAGAAGCUUACAAAGCUGCCUCGAGGGUCGGGAGGCCAUGCCAAGCAUUGUGAUUUGCAGAGUCCAUGAGACAGGAACACUCCCACCACAGUGACCUGCCUCUGCACACAGCCAGAAUGUAGCUGACUCCUUUCUUCUCCCACUUGCAUGCUUCCAAGCCUUCAAAACAUACUCAUCUCCAUGUUCUGUGAAUUAGCAAUUUUUAAAAAAAUAAAAAAAUAAACAAACUCA
ensembl:lncRNA FAM157C family with sequence similarity 157 member C